rnacentral:rRNA from 1 species
GACGAACGCUGGCAGCGUGCCUAAUACAUGCAAGUAGAACGCUGAAGAGAGGAGCUUGCUCUUCUUGGAUGAGUUGCGAACGGGUGAGUAACGCGUAGGUAACCUGCCUUGUAGCGGGGGAUAACUAUUGGAAACGAUAGCUAAUACCGCAUAACAAUGGAUGACACAUGUCAUUUAUUUGAAAGGGGCAAUUGCUCCACUACAAGAUGGACCUGCGUUGUAUUAGCUAGUAGGUGAGGUAACGGCUCACCUAGGCGACGAUACAUAGCCGACCUGAGAGGGUGAUCGGCCACACUGGGACUGAGACACGGCCCAGACUACUACGGGAGGCAGCAGUAGGGAAUCUUCGGCAAUGGGGGCAACCCUGACCGAGCAACGCCGCGUGAGUGAAGAAGGUUUUCGGAUCGUAAAGCUCUGUUGUAAGUCAAGAACGAGUGUGAGAGUGGAAAGUUCACACUGUGACGGUAGCUUACCAGAAAGGGACGGCUAACUACGUG